ACUGGCAAUUGUCAGAGUAGACCCAUGACUAACUUAAGUCCCAUUGGUUUCCAUGGCUCCACUCUCAAGUAUGACUAAGUUUGGAUCCAACCCAACAAGUGGUGGCUUUACUGUGGCACAAUGGUUGCAUGAGUUGGCCCCCAUUGCUGUGUACCUUAUCACAAGGUCAGGCUAGCCAAAGCAUUUAAAAAGGGCUUCUGAUCAGGAAUUGCCUCCAUUUCCCUGUCAUGGCUAGCCAAUAGCACUGAGCAUCGUACUUCUCAUUGAACACGUCCCAUGUCCUUUUGCACUUUUUGAAAUAAUGCCCUGCAUUUUGCAGUCAGCUUACAAACUGAGCACUUCUUCGGACAAUCCAGAGAAGCGGCAAGAGUGGAGGUGUGAGCGGCUUGUGUUUCCUCUCCCUGUGAUUUCAGGCCUCAUCCAAAGAAAGACUGACAGACCUAUUCUCUCCAGGAAGGCCCAUAGGCACAUAUAUUCUGUCCCUUCACUGAGAAUGCUCAGCUCCUUCCUUUGGUUGAAAACCAGGAGCAGAAACACAAAAUCCAUUUCUUUCUUUUUUUAACAUGGUGUUUUUAUUCUGCUGUUCACCACUCUGGAAUCUUUGGAUGAGGAGCAGUAUACAAAUACUGUAAAUAAAUAAAUCAUUUAUUCUUCCUCUCCACAUAUCUCAAAUGCCCAAAGCAACUUUUAAAAACUCAGCACACCAAAAUAUCAGGCAUGGCCUUUGAAAUUUCUCCCUUUCUAAGCUCCUGCAGUUAUCAUCUUAGAUAGAAGCACAUGGUAAACCCCCAAAAGAUAGGGCUGCAUAAGUAUAUGUGAUCGCUCUUAAUGCUUACUGCACCAAGCGCUGUAGCAGGGGACGUUAGACGUAAGGAAUACAGCUGAGCUAAGUGAGCCAGCCUGAUCGUAGGAAACCAGCAUGAGCCAUGGUAGGCAGUCGAUGACCGCAGCAGGUCCUGAGAAGAGCGCUCUGUUUCCUGUUUUAAAAUUCCCAGCAAAGCCAUUUCCCCAUGAACAUUUUAUGAAUCUAAUCUGCCAGAGACAAACAGGGCCACUUACUUAUCUAUGCGAUGCGCUUACGACAUGCUUGUGUGUCAAAAGAUUUCAAAGCUUAAACAGCAUGCUAACUUCAGGAUGGAUUGGGCUUCCUCAGAUAAAUGUGUCUCACUUCUACGUAACGCACUGAGUCAUGCUUCUCCAAUAGCCCUGUUGCUAUAUCCACGUCAACUCUAGUUCAUUGGCUCAGCAGAUGCUCUGAACACAUAAAGUUUCAGUGUUGGCACCUGGUUAGCUCAGUGGGCACAUUUGGAAUUUUGUCAGUGUGGUGGACACCUUCACAAAAUGUCUGCUGUGGGGGAAGGGGGCUGGGGUAUUUAUUCAAAAUGGCUGCUACGGUGGGCAUGACUGGUCACAAAACUAUCAUUUCCCAGAAGGGGUACUGGUAAGAGGAAAAGAAAAGCAACUUGCCUAAGAAUCUUAAGUAUAAGGCAGAGGUGGAAGCUGAGAUCCAAAACAUAAAAUCACUCUUUUGAACUCAAAUAAGCACCCAGGUUUAUAGGAUCUCACAGGUUUGGAUGAGACUUUUGUUUGAAGCCUUUGGACAAUUGCUGCCAGUUAAUAUAGGGAUAAUUUCUAGACUAAAUAUAGGUAAUGAUCAGACUUGGUAUACGACAACUUCAUAUGGCACGUACCAGUCUGGUCUUUCUCGGGCAGAAUAGUAAGAAUGGUCAGAGCAAUCGUCUAUCCAAUUCAGCAUGUUGUUUCCAUCAGCAGCUAGCCAAGCGGCUCUGGGUGCACCAGAGCUGGACAGGAAGACAAUGACUGUCCCCUUUUCUUUGUCCCCAGUAUCUGGUUCUUAGAGGUAUGUUGCUUCUCUUGAACCGGGGAGGCUGUUGAAACACUUCCGAUUUUAGACAACAGCAAAGAAACAUGCUGUAAAAAACAUCAACGUAUUUACUUUUUCCUGAGCCUUUGAAGAGGCAGUUUCAGAGCUGUUUCCCUAAGCAAAGAAGCCUGACAGAGUCAGCCCAGGCCUUAUGUCAGUUGUGCCUCCAUAAAGCUAUUACCCAUGAGAGGUCUGAGUCCUGGGCUGUUCAUGAUUUGCAGUGAGGCUUGGAGCCAUUACUGAACGCGUUUUCUCCAGAAACUUUCAGCAGCCACCAUAUUAUAUUCUACCUUAAACAGAAAUUUGAUCUCCAGUGACUUCACAGGAGUUUCCUAAGAUGCACAAAUGUACAUCUGAUUUUUACAUUGUGGUUACUUAAUACACAAGACAUAUCACUUUAUAAAUCUGGCAACAGAUAACACCAGCUGGCGUGCAGCAUGUUGGGAAACUACGGUUCUUCCUGGAGCCCCUUUUAUACCAUUCUGCCAAAGGGUAGCGUUGGGAUUUAGGGAGAGUGAGCAACAAAAUUACAAUAACAUCCCAUUAUGCUGCCUUGACUCCAUAAAACAUCCCUACUAUAAGUAAGAAUUAAACUCUAGGAUUAUUCUAUAAACUGAAUACCUAAUUACAUACAGUAGUAUCCCCACCCACAGUUUCAAUCUGUACAACCUAAAAUUCAUAUUUUGGAUUUAGAACUGAAACAGAGGAACAAACGUCCCAUGUGAUGUAUCUAUUGCUGUGCUAUAACAUUUUUGCAAAGAAGGAUAAGAAAUAGAGUGUUUGAAUGCUCCCCCACAUAAUGUGUUCUUUGAAGAUACACAAUGUCAGGAAGAAUGUUCUAGGCUAGUGUUUGGGACAGGUUAAGGUAUAAAUGGGAAUAAACAAAUACUGAAAAUAAUUCCUCCAGAAUACAUCUAGAUCAACCUUCCCCAACUUGGUCCCCUCCAGAUGUGUUGAGAUAACUUCCAUCAUCCCAAGCCAGCAUGGCCAUUUUAUGUCCCAACACAUCUGGAGAGCGCCAGGUUGGGGAAGGCUGAUCGAAAUCAGCCUACAUAAUCUUGAUUGUAGUGCCACAAGCAGAAGAGGAAACAUGAAGAAAGUUCUCCAAUCAUAAAUAAAGUCCCUGGCUGAUUCAAAAGACAGAUUAGUCAAAUCCUCCAGAUGGGGUAAGCAAGUAAACCAAUAUCAGGGUGCAAUUCAGCCAGAGUUAAGCACUACCAAUGCCCCUUGGUGACAAUGGGAAAGUUGUGCACAUGCUUUACAUUCCUCCUAUUAAAUUAAUAGAAGAGAAAGUGCUUAAUUUUGGCUGAAUUAUGUCCUAAUCCAGGAACUAAAUCUAAUGAUGAUUUAAAUUUGUGUGUUACUUCCCACUAUAAAAAGCAGUCUUGAAGCAACUUACACACACAAUACAGAAAUCCUUUAUCAAUAUUACAAGGGGGGGAAACCCAAUCAAUGUAAUAAUAAUAAUAAUAAUAAUAAUAAUAAUAAUAAUAAUAAUAAUAAAUUUAUUUAUUUGUUACCCGCCUCUCCCUCUGAAUCGAGGCAGGGUACAACACAAAUGCAAACGCCAUAAAAUAAAUAUAACUAAUUAAAACAUUUAAAACUAAUACAUUAUUAAAAGCAGCACAUUAGGUAAACCAUAAUCAGCACAACAAUACAAAUAAAAUAAACACCAUAAAAACAUAAUCUAAAAACAAGGCAAUAUGAAAAGUGUUCAUCUCACAAAAACAUAAUUUUCCCCCUCACAGCCUAGAAAGAACAUCACGAAUGCAGCCUACAGCAAUUGGGCCAUAACUGGGGAAAUAAGUACAUCUUUCUGAAAAGAUUAUAGUAAGCCUGUUCAGACGACUCUUAUGGCUCUGUGGUUAGUGAAACUGUGGUUCGCUGGGGUUAGCACUAACCACAAGCCGUGCUGUCACAUGCAACACUUCAACCCAUGGUUAGAGCCACUAACACUGCUGCAGGCUAUGGUCAGUGAGUGAGCAGGCUUUAGCAAAACGCAUUGUGCAAGACAUCUUGAACCCUCUGCUUAACCAAAAGCCUUAACCAGCAGGAUUUAAGGUGUCUUCUGAAGUGGCCCAGUGUCUGUGCCAGAUGAGCUUCCUUGGGACAGUGUUACAGAGUUCCUUUCUUCCCUAUCCCCUUUACUGCUUCUAAUUUUCCUGUAUCCCAAGACAUUAGAAUGUAAAGGCUGUACAUGUUCUUUCCUUUCCUUUUUUUUUUGGUCUGUUAAGAAUAAGUUUCUGUUACACUUUAAAAUCCUAUAGCAGUCGAGUGAUCUGCUUAAUUGUUCCUUUUAAAUGGAGAGAAGUUUCAUUGUCCCUGUUUUCCUUCGGAUAAAACCUCUUUAAUUAAGGCUAAUUCUUUAUGUGACAGAUAUAUCCAUAGUUGACAAUCUAAACAGUACCAAUUCUACGUUUCAGGGUCCAAUAAGCCAAAAUACGUGCAUUUCCUUUGUUUUAUCUUAGGAUGCAGUAGAUGUAACAUUCAGUGAUUUUAUUCUUCCAUCCCCCAGUUUUGUUUUGUUUGGGGUGGCUAUGGCCAAUGUUAUAAAGUUCUCUGGAAGUGGGCAGAGAAAGAGUAAGCCUGUUACAUCACAGAAAACAUAUUUAUGUGUGGAACCAUUAUUCCUUUGGUUUGGGGGGGGGGUAUUUUCUUCCAUAAGAGAUGGAAAACAGAAAUAUGAACCCCAAAUGUUGUGAGGAGGUGGAGAAUCACUGCUGGACUAAAUGCAUGAAUGAUGCACUGCACGUUUUCAAUCAUAUGCUGUUUCGGCACUUACUCUACCUUCCUGAGCUUUGCCUUUGUGUUAAACACAUUCCAAAGUCCUAGGUUUCUUCUAUGUCCUAAGUUUGGUUUUGUGAAGACUAUCUGGUUCCAUAACUCCCAUCCCUUACUCUAGCUAAAUGCAAAAGCUGAUGUUUUGUGAACAAAGCAUGGCAAUGGCUAACAAGAACGUGAUCUUCUCCUGUUUUUGGACACUGUGGUUUAUAAAAGAGCAUCAGCUAUCUAGAGUGGCUUCUAUCUAUGUAUUGGUCCAUUGUGCCUGCGGAGAAGAGAGAGCGCAGGAAGGUUCCAUCUGAUUUAGUUUUAAAAUAAGGGGCAGCAGCAGAUCUCAUUCCUUGUGGUCAGUGUUCAGGGGCUGCUAAGAAAGCCUGGCGUUCUGACAGACAGCCUAGAAUCGGCAAAGAAGUGCUAAGGAUGAAAAGGAAAAAAAAGAGGUACAACCCUCACAGCACUGUCUAUCACUCUGGCUUUCCAAGCAUAGAUUCUCUGCCACAAAAAGUUGGCAUCAAGGUGUUAAUCUUUAAACUGCAGUCCCUUGUUUAUUAGAUCAGUAAAGGUGAAAACAAACUAGCCAAAAGACAAUUAGCCUGUCAUUACCACUCAUCCCUUGCAGUGCUCAGAUAAGAGUUGGGAGCAUUCAAGACAUUGAAUCCAGAUUUAGCCAUCGUUAGAAUGAAUCUAUUAAGAUCAAAGGGACUUAAGUUAGACACAACUAUCCAAAGUCCCACUGAUUUAGGUAUGGCCAAGUCUGGAUCCAAUCCAGAGGUUCUCCCUCAGGUAGUGCAGGUGAUGCCUAGGUUUGCCAGGCCUACAUCUGCUCCCUAGUAUGUACUCUGGAAUCCUCUGUGGGGGGGGGGAAUCCACAGAGGUUUCUCAGCAAACUAAUUGACAUGGAAGAUGUAUCCUCAGGGUAGGAAAUUUGAAAACCACUUCUCAAGUCUAGGCUGUAGUUCCGAGCCAUUCACAUUUUUAAUCCUUCCCCCCAGAGAACAGCUGGACUUCAGUGUUUGCUGUUAUCUAGCACAAUGUCCUGUCCUGUGAAAACAAGCUGGCGUAAAAAUUUGCACACAUGAAACAGUUUUGCACAGUCAAACAAAGGGCUGGGAUGCUUUGCAAAGCAUCGAAGAUCAGAAAAUGUGUUUUUAAUUAACCAAUUUCUGUUCCACUCCUCGAGGUCCCUCCCAUGUUUGCCAACAACAGGCGCUCCACCUUAUUUCCCAGUGACAAGAGAGAGUAACAACUUGUCCUGAUUGGAGGUCUCCUUGAACCAUUUGUCUCUCACUUUUCUCCUUUUUUUCUGAGAUAGGAAAGGGGUUGGAAAUGAAUGAGGACUUUGUGGCAAUCUGUGAUUGCUGAGAGUAUCAUUCACAUAACUCUUUGCUGUUCUGUCUUCAGACACAGUGGGAGGGAUGUCCUUGAAAAUAAUAUAAAGAGUUGUAUCGCUCCUUAGGCCUGGGUUGCAGUAUCUAAGUUGCAACCACAACCAAGGUUGCAAUCACACACCACCCUGGAUGGUAUCACCUGCCACUCACACGGUUAGGGUGGAUAUUGUGGUUUUCUAUUAGGAACAUGCAUCUUAAUGAGGCAGGCCUUACCAGCAUAGUAUGUAAAGAAUUCAUCCUCACAAUUUGGAUGGAAAAUAUGCAUGUUACCUAGAGCAAGAUAGGAGCAAUGCUCAGAGGUGGCAGAAGCCAUCCCACUCUAGGUAAUGUGAAAACUGGGUUCCCUCAUUUCAAGGUGAGCAGUUUGUCAAACUCUUUGUUUGGGGAUUUAAAACAAGAGGGCUUCCCUUCUUAAAUAUGGGCUUCAGAUUUCUUUGGAAAAUAAAAAAGUGUAGAAAGCUAAGACUAUGGAUCUACCUGACAGAUCCACCAAAGUUACCAUAAUCCACUCUACAUGCUUUGAACUUUCAAUGGAGAACAAAGGGCUGAAUCAUUUAUCCAUAUUUUGGGCAAAUCUGUGCUACAAAUUGUAACCAGCUUCAAGCUAAUUAUCAUGGCUCCCCACAUUAAACUCUGGGAAUUGUGUUCUUGUGAGAGUGAUAAGAAUUAUAGGUGACUUCCAAGGUCAAAUAUGUGGGCUUCCACUCAUGCUAUGGCCCUCUCCUCCUGCUGAACACACACCCCUGUCCAAAUCUCCCAACCUUCUGGAGCUGAUUUUGGGGUUGCCCUGCAGGGGAAGUGGGAAUCUCUUCCGCCAAAAGUAUCCAUUCCACUGGCAGAUGGAUGCCAUUGGAUUUCACCCUAUCUACUGACCCCAUUUCUUUCUUCAAUACCCAAGAUUCUUUACUUUGAAAUCAUAAUCAAAAUUUAAAGUGGGAGAUAGAAGAAGCAAGCGUGAUGAGUUCCUUUCAAAUCAAAACAUUCAGUUGUAUUUGUUGAAAAGAAAUGGGAUGGUUUAAGACUCCCCACCUGGUUCAAGCACUGGCCCAAAAAGUUCAACAGAUUUUAAACUGGUUUAAAUGUGCAAUACAGUCACGCCCCAAGGGUUGAUUUCUCAUGACCACCCUGCACAUGGCUGGCGGCUUUGAUUUUUCCAUCCUGGAUUGCAGUUGUGAUUAAGCAAAAUGUUCCUGUUUAUUUUUGCCUUUCCAGAUAACAACGUCUUUUAUUCAGAACACUUGUCAGCUAAGCAAGCAUGUGAUUUUCACACUGAUAUGAUUACAUUUCGUUGUUGUGAAUGAAACAUCCACUGUUGGCUUAAUUAUACAUUGUUCCCAAUCCAAACAUAUGUAGACAUCUAGGGUUUAGGCUGGCUGUCAGCCUAUUACUUGUUCCAGACACCACUUAUCCGCAACUUCACAUAUGCAACUCUCGUUUUAGGAGCAGAAAUUCAUGAGUAUUCCAUUACAGCAUACCCUAGCUUGCAUCACUGGGAAGUUGUGGGGACUGUUUCUUGCAAGCACAAACUGCAAGCCACAAACAUUUUAAAUGUGGGCUAAGUGGCGACCUGUCAAAACCUAUUUAUUCAUGAGACUUUUUUUAGCUGGUGCUUUCAAAGUGAUGCACAGUAAAAUAAAAACAAAACAAGAUCAAACAACAAGGUUCAAAAUAAAAAGCCAUAUACAAAAUUGAACAAUCAAAACAGCAGAGACCCAGAAACAUGAAGAUUACCUCCCAAAGGCACAUGGAAAAGAGGCAUGUUUUGCUUGUCUGCAGAUCAUCAUAUGAGAGGAAACCAAGGAAUAGCCCAUGGAACGGCAUCCCAGCACUCUUGAGUGGCAACGGCCUUAGCCAAUCUGGCUUCUGAAUAAAUUGAAACUUGAAGUAGGGCUUUUCUGGAUGAUCCUAAAUUUGGCCAUGCAGAGGGUGUUCCUAUGACAGCAAUUGGUUUGUGCUUGUGACAAAUGAUUCAGACAACACAAGGCACCGCAUGUAUAGUGCAAUCCAAUCUGGGGAAAACAGCACCGCCAUCCACACGUAGGAGUUAGUCAACUACAUUGACCUUAACCCAGCUGAAGUUAAGGCUCUUUUAAUGCUGGAGGGAAGCCUUAUGGGAAAUUCCUAUCCCUUAUCGCUAACAUUGCAUAGGUACAGACUCCCAAACUGUGACACUGGUCAUGUUCAGAAGACACCUUAAACCAAGGCUUUAACCACGGUGCAUAAGGCUUUUUGCCUUAUUCACUGUGGUUAACGCCAUGAUUUAAGGUGUCUUCUGAACAGGGCCAUUGUGCAGUUAGAUGCUAGCGUUGCUGGCAAAUAAUGUGAAUGCUUUGACUGGAGCAUAGCAGGUCAUUCAUUCAGCCCUUUAAAGAGAAAAGCGGGAUUAGGUUAUAGCAUUUGUUCCUUUGAAACUCUCCCCUGCACCUCUUACAACACAUACUCUUGAGUAAUUUUUGCAGGACAUGAGAAAGAAUCUUAGUUGGCACGUGCCAUCCAACGUAAACCACUUUAAAACUCCCAUCCUAUUAUAUUUUACACUGUACUUAUGGUUUUAACUUUUGCGAACCGCCCCAAGAGCUUCAUCUAUUGGGCAGUAUAGAAAUUAAAUAAAUAAACUGAUUUCAAUAGGAGAAAUUUAAAGAAUGCAUUAUUUAUUUAUUACGUUUAUAUUCCGCCUUUCCCCCUGCAAAGAACCCCAUUAAAAUUGAUGCAGGAUCAGGCCCGAUAGCUGCAGUUUGGGGCCACAGUUGAACAAAGUGAAGUUCACUUGUCCACUGCUUUAUGCGAACCUUCAUCACAACCCUAUGCAAGUUUACUCAGAAGGAAGUCCUAUUAAAUGCAAUGGAAUUCAUUCCCAAGUAGGCAUCUGUAGAGGUCUUCUGGUUUGAGCUUGGUGGACAGUGGCCAUAUUUUGCCCUGAUACGACAAGUACAGAAGCUGCUUUCUGCACAUGUUGCUGAUGGAAAUGAAAAUCCACGCCCCCAUUCCCAGUUCAGUGGACCUACAUUCCCAUCUAUAGCCACCCAUUGUUAUGUGUGACCGAUUGCUUGUGACUGGAGCUGGUUUGGGAAUACGUUUCCUAACUGGGAAUCAGUUCAUAUUUAUUCAUUUUGGAACUUCUAAAAGCUCAGUUUACUCCGAGAGAAAAACCUGGAAUGACUCUUAAAAUAGCACUUACUGCAAAACAUCUCUGUAUUAUUUUUAAUUUUUUAAAAAACAAAAAACAAAGAUGCAAGCAUGUUUUAUUGAAGAAAAUUAAAAGGAAAAAAAAGCUUACAAAUUUAAUCCUGGAAUGUCAGUGUGCCUAAUAUUAUAAGUCUUGUGAUUGGUUCAAUUUCAUAACACCAUCCUUGUUUCUGGAGAAGGGAAAUUGUGUAUUUACUCAAUGCAUGUAACAAGACAUUGCAAAACGUUUAACCUGCGUAAGGAGUUUGCGAUGCGGCAAAUUGUUAAUGGGGCAAUGUUGCAAAUUAUUCUCUGCCUUGACAAUCAUGUAUACAUAUCAAGAUUUCUAUCAUAAUGAUAAUUUAAGGGAUACUGAGAAUGAUUUUCCUCCAAUAAAUCAAAUUAA